rnacentral:rRNA from 1 species
GAUGAACGCUGACAGAAUGCUUAACACAUGCAAGUCGAUUCAAGUUACCUUCGGGUAAUGAGGAUGGCGGACGGGUGAGUAACGCGUAAGGAACUUGCCUCUUGGUCUGGGACAACUGUUGGAAACGACAGCUAAUACCGGAUAUUAUGAGAUUCUCGCAUGGGAAACUUAUGAAAGCUAUAUGCGCCAAGAGAGAGCCUUGCGUUCCAUUAGCUAGUUGGUGGGGUAACGGCCCACCAAGGCGACGAUGGAUAGCCGGCCUGAGAGGGUGAACGGCCACAAGGGGACUGAGACACGGCCCUUACUCCUACGGGAGGCAGCAGUGGGGAAUAUUGGACAAUGGGCCACAAGCCUGAUCCAGCAAUUCUGUGUGCACGAUGAAGGUCUUCGGAUUGUAAAGUGCUUUCAGUUGGGAAGAAGAAAGUGACGGUACCAACAGAAGAAGCGACGGCUAAAUACGUGCCAGCAGCCGCGGUAAUACGUAUGUCGCAAGCGUUAUCCGGAUUUAUUGGGCGUAAAGCGCGUCUAGGCGGAAAAAUAAGUCUGAUGUUAAAAUGCGGGGCUCAACUCCGUAUUGCGUUGGAAACUGCUUUUCUAGAGUACUGGAGAGGUGGGCGGAACUACAAGUGUAGAGGUGAAAUUCGUAGAUAUUUGUAGGAAUGCCGAUGGAGAANUCAGCUCACUGGACAGAUACUGACGCUGAAGCGCGAAAGCGUGGGGAGCAAACAGGAUUAGAUACCCUGGUAGUCCACGCCGUAAACGANGAUCACUAGG